GUACCUGUUGCACAAUGGGUAGUGUGUGUGUGUGCGUUGGACUUCUAAUCCAAAGGUCGUGGGUUCGAUUUCCACUUGAGAUG